CCUACGGGUGGCAGCAGUGAGGAAUAUUGGUCAAUGGACGCAAGUCUGAACCAGCCAUGCCGCGUGCAGGAAGACGGCUCUAUGAGUUGUAAACUGCUUUUGUACGAGGGUAAACUCCGAUAUGUGUACUUCUCUGCAUGUACCGUAUGAAUAAGGAUCGGCUAACUCCGUGCCAGCAGCCGCGGUAAUACGGAGGAUCCAAGCGUUAUCCGGAUUUAUUGGGUUUAAAGGGUGCGUAGGCGGUCGGAUAAGUUAGAGGUGAAAUCCCGAGGCUCAACUUCGGAAUUGCCUUUGAUACUGUUAGGCUAGAGAGUAGUUGCGGUAGGCGGAAUGUAUGGUGUAGCGGUGAAAUGCUUAGAGAUCAUACAGAACACCGAUUGCGAAGGCAGCUUAC
rnacentral:rRNA from 1 species